rnacentral:rRNA from 1 species
UUAGGACGAACGCUGGCGGCGUGCCUAACACAUGCAAGUCGAGCGGGGAUGUCUGGGGAGGCUCGCUUUCCGGGACAUUCUAGCGGCGGACGGGUGAGUAACGCGUGAGCAACCUGCUUUAACAGGGGGAUAACGCAUCGAAAGAUGUGCUAAUACCGCAUAAGACCACGGUUUCACAUGGGACAGGGGUCAAAGGAGCAAAUCCGGUUAAAGAUGGGCUCGCGUCCGAUUAGCUAGUUGGUGAGAUAACAGCCCACCAAGGCGACGAUCGGUAGCCGACCUGAGAGGGUGAUCGGCCACAUUGGAACUGAGAUACGGUCCAGACUCCUACGGGAGGCAGCAGUGGGGAAUAUUGGGCAAUGGGCGAAAAAGCCUGACCCAGCAACGCCGCGUGAGGGAAGAAGGGUUUCGGCUCGUAAACCUCUGUCCUGUGGGACGAAGGAAGUGACGGUACCACAGGAGGAAGCCCCGGCUAACUACGUGCCAGCCGCUGC